rnacentral:tRNA from 1 species
UUGGUUAAAGCCAAAGCAGAGGCAUAUCACUGUUAAUGAUAAAAGUGGAAUAUACUCCUAACCAAG